rnacentral:rRNA from 1 species
AGUGAACGCUGGCGGUAGGCCUAACACAUGCAAGUCGAACGGCAGCACAGUAAGAGCUUGCUCUUACGGGUGGCGAGUGGCGGACGGGUGAGGAAUACAUCGGAAUCUACUUUUUCGUGGGGGAUAACGUAGGGAAACUUACGCUAAUACCGCAUACGACCUACGGGUGAAAGCAGGGGAUCUUCGGACCUUGCGCGAUUGAAUGAGCCGAUGUCGGAUUAGCUAGUUGGCGGGGUAAAGGCCCACCAAGGCGACGAUCCGUAGCUGGUCUGAGAGGAUGAUCAGCCACACUGGAACUGAGACACGGUCCAGACUCCUACGGGAGGUAGCAGUGGGGAAUAUUGGACAAUGGGCGCAAGCCUGAUCCAGCCAUACCGCGUGGGUGAAGAAGGCCUUCGGGUUGUAAAGCCCUUUUGUUGGGAAAGAAAAGCAGCAGGUUAAUACCCCGCUGUUCUGACGGUACCCAAGGAAUAAGCACCGGCUAACUUCGUG